AAAUUGAAGAGUUUGAUCAUGGCUCAGAUUGAACGCUGGCGGCAGGCCUAACACAUGCAAGUCGAACGGUAACANGAAAGCAGCUUGCUGCUUUGCUGACGAGUGGCGGACGGGUGAGUAAUGUCUGGGAAACUGCCUGAUGGAGGGGGAUAACUACUGGAAACGGUAGCUAAUACCGCAUAACGUCGCAAGACCAAAGAGGGGGACCUUCGGGCCUCUUGCCAUCGGAUGUGCCCAGAUGGGAUUAGCUUGUUGGUGGGGUAACGGCUCACCAAGGCGACGAUCCCUAGCUGGUCUGAGAGGAUGACCAGCCACACUGGAACUGAGACACGGUCCAGACUCCUACGGGAGGCAGCAGUGGGGAAUAUUGCACAAUGGGCGCAAGCCUGAUGCAGCCAUGCCGCGUGUAUGAAGAAGGCCUUCGGGUUGUAAAGUACUUUCAGCGGGGAGGAAGGGAGUAAAGUUAAUACCUUUGCUCAUUGACGUUACCCGCAGAAGAAGCACCGGCUAACUCCGUGCCAGCAGCCGCGGUAAUACGGAGGGUGCAAGCGUUAAUCGGAAUUACUGGGCGUAAAGCGCACGCAGGCGGUUUGUUAAGUCAGAUGUGAAAUCCCCGGGCUCAACCUGGGAACUGCAUCUGAUACUGGCAAGCUUGAGUCUCGUAGAGGGGGGUAGAAUUCCAGGUGUAGCGGUGAAAUGCGUAGAGAUCUGGAGGAAUACCGGUGGCGAAGGCGGCCCCCUGGACGAAGACUGACGCUCAGGUGCGAAAGCGUGGGGAGCAAACAGGAUUAGAUACCCUGGUAGUCCACGCCGUAAACGAUGUCGACUUGGAGGUUGUGCCCUUGAGGCGUGGCUUCCGGAGCUAACGCGUUAAGUCGACCGCCUGGGGAGUACGGCCGCAAGGUUAAAACUCAAAUGAAUUGACGGGGGCCCGCACAAGCGGUGGAGCAUGUGGUUUAAUUCGAUGCAACGCGAAGAACCUUACCUGGUCUUGACAUCCACAGAACUUUCCAGAGAUGGAUUGGUGCCUUCGGGAACUGUGAGACAGGUGCUGCAUGGCUGUCGUCAGCUCGUGUUGUGAAAUGUUGGGUUAAGUCCCGCAACGAGCGCAACCCUUAUCCUUUGUUGCCAGCGGUCCGGCCGGGAACUCAAAGGAGACUGCCAGUGAUAAACUGGAGGAAGGUGGGGAUGACGUCAAGUCAUCAUGGCCCUUACGACCAGGGCUACACACGUGCUACAAUGGCGCAUACAAAGAGAAGCGACCUCGCGAGAGCAAGCGGACCUCAUAAAGUGCGUCGUAGUCCGGAUUGGAGUCUGCAACUCGACUCCAUGAAGUCGGAAUCGCUAGUAAUCGUGGAUCAGAAUGCCACGGUGAAUACGUUCCCGGGCCUUGUACACACCGCCCGUCACACCAUGGGAGUGGGUUGCAAAAGAAGUAGGUAGCUUAACCUUCGGGAGGGCGCUUACCACUUUGUGAUUCAUGACUGGGGUGAAGUCGUAACAAGGUAACCGUAGGGGAACCUGCGGUUGGAUCACCUCCUUACCUUAAAGAA
rnacentral:rRNA from 1 species